GGGAUACCCAGAGGAAACUUUUGGCUAAUACCGGAUAACAACAGAAGAGGCAUCUCUUCAAGUUUGAAAGGCCCUUUACGGGGUCACUUAAGGAUGGAACCUGCGGCGCAUUAGCUAGUUGGUGAGAUAACAGCCCACCAAGGCGAGGAUGCGUAGCCGACCUGAGAGGGUGAUCGGCCACAUUGGAACUGAGACACGGUCCAAACUCCUACGGGAGGCAGCAGUAAGGAGUUUUCGGCAAUGGGGGAAACCCUGACCGAGCAACGGCCGCGUGAGUGAAUGACGGCCCUAUGGGUUGUAAAGCUCUGUUGUAAGGGACGAAUGACUAGCUUAGGAAAUGAAGUUAGUUUGACGGUACCUUACCAGAAAGCCACGGCUAACUACGUGCCAGCCGCUGC
rnacentral:rRNA from 1 species